GACAGAGGUGCCGAGCGUUAGGCGGAAUCACUGGGCUUAAAGCGUGUGUAGGCGGGUCGUUAAGUACCUUGUGAAAUCCCACGGCUCAACCGUGGAACCGCUGGGUGUACUGGCGAUCUUGAGAGACCUAGGGGUCACCGGAACAGGCGGUGGAGCGGUGAAAUGCGUAGAUAUCGCCUGGAACGCCGGCGGCGAAAGCGGGUGACUGGAGGUCUUCUGACGAUGAGACACGAAAGCCAGGGGAGCGAACGGG
rnacentral:rRNA from 1 species